CAAUAGCGUAUAUUAAAGUUGUUGCGGUUAAAAAGCUCGUAGUUGGAUUUCUGCUGAGGACGACCGGUCCGCCCUCCGGGUGAGCAUCUGGUUCGGCCUUGGCAUCUUCUUGGUGAACGUAUCUGCACUUGACUGUGUGGUGCGGUACCCAGGACUUUUACUUUGAGGAAAUUAGAGUGUUUCAAGCAGGCAUACGCCUUGAAUACAUUAGCAUGGAAUAAUAAGAUAGGACUUUGGUACUAUUUUGUUGGUUUGUAUACCAAGGUAAUGAUUAACGGGGACAGUUGGGGGUAUUCGUAUUUAAUUGUCAGAGGUGAAAUUCUUGGAUUUAUGAAAGACGAACUACUGCGAAAGCAUUUACCAAGGAUGUUUUCAUUAAUCAAGAACGAAAGUGAAGGGAUCGAAGAUGAUAGAUACCGU
rnacentral:rRNA from 1 species